CCACCGAAAGGUGGUCUAAUACUUCAUAAUAUCCAUCUCGUAUGGAUUAAAGCUUUAUGCGCUUUGGAGGGGCCUGCGUAACAUUAGCUUGUUGGUGAGGUAAAAGCUCACCAAGGCUUCGAUGUUUAACUGGUUUGAGAGGAUGACCAGUCACGCUGGGACUGAGAUACGGCCCAGACUCCUACGGGAGGCAGCAGUAAGGAAUCUUCCACAAUGGGGCAACCCUGAUGGAGCAAUACCGCGUGCAGGAUGAAGCGUUUCGGCGUGUAAACUGCUUUUAUCACCGAAGAUUAUGACUGUAGGUGAAGAAUAAGGACCGGCUAACUACGUG
rnacentral:rRNA from 1 species